AUUGAACGCUGGCGGCAGGCCUAACACAUGCAAGUCGAGCGGAUGAAGGGAGCUUGCUCCUGGAUUCAGCGGCGGACGGGUGAGUAAUGCCUAGGAAUCUGCCUGGUAGUGGGGGAUAACGUCCGGAAACGGGCGCUAAUACCGCAUACGUCCUGAGGGAGAAGGUGGGGGAUCUUCGGACCUCACGCUAUCAGAUGAGCCUAGGUCGGAUUAGCUAGUUGGUGGGGUAAAGGCCUACCAAGGCGACGAUCCGUAACUGGUCUGAGAGGAUGACCAGUCACACUGGAACUGAGACACGGUCCAGACUCCUACGGGAGGCAGCAGUGGGGAAUAUUGGACAAUGGGCGAAAGCCUGAUCCAGCCAUGCCGCGUGUGUGAAGAAGGUCUUCGGAUUGUAAAGCACUUUAAGUUGGGAGGAAGGGCAGUAAGUUAAUACCUUGCUGUUUUGACGUUACCAACAGAAUAAGCACCGGCUAACUUCGUG
rnacentral:rRNA from 1 species